GCGCUUAGAAGUGAGAAUGCCGGUGUGAGUAGCGAAAGACGGGUGAGAAUCCCGUCCACCGAUUGACUAAGGUUUCCAGAGGAAGGCUCGUCCGCUCUGGGUUAGUCGGGUCCUAAGCUGAGGCCGAUAGGCGUAGGCGAUGGAUAACAGGUUGAUAUUCCUGUACCACCAAAUUUCGUUUUAAGCGAUGGGGGGACGCAGUAGGAUAGGCGAAGCGUACUAUUGGAUUGUACGUCCAAGCAAUGAGACUGAGUGUUAGGCAAAUCCGGCACUCUUAAGGUCAAGUUGUGAUGGGGAGAGGAAAUUGUUUCCUCGAGUCGUUGAUUUCACACUGCCAAGAAAAGCCUCUAGCUAGAAUUUUGGUGCCCGUACCGCAAACCGACACAGGUAGUCAAGAUGAGAAUUCUAAGGUGAGCGAGCGAACUCUCGUUAAGGAACUCGGCAAAAUGACCCCGUAACUUCGGGAGAAGGGGUGCUCUUUAGGGUUAACGCCCAGGAGAGCCGCAGUGAAUAGGCCCAAGCGACUGUUUAUCAAAAACACAGGUCUCUGCUAAACCGUAAGGUGAUGUAUAGGGGCUGACGCCUGCCCGGUGCUGGAAGGUUAAGAGGAGUGGUUAGCUUCGGCGAAGCUACGAAUCGAAGCCCCAGUAAACGGCGGCCGUAACUAUAACGGUCCUAAGGUAGCGAAAUUCCUUGUCGGGUAAGUUCCGACCCGCACGAAAGGCGUAACGAUUUGGGCACUGUCUCAACGAGAGACUCGGUGAAAUCAUAGUACCUGUGAAGAUGCAGGUUACCCGCGACAGGACGGAAAGACCCCGUGGAGCUUUACUGUAGUCUGAUAUUGAAAUUCGGUACAACUUGUACAGGAUAGGUAGGAGCCUUUGAAACGUGAGCGCCAGCUUACGUCGAGGCGUUGGUGGGAUACUACCCUUGCUGUGUUGGAUUUCUAACCCGCACCAUUUAUCAUGGUGGGAGACAGUGUCAGAUGGACAGUUUGACUGGGGCGGUCGCCUCCUAAAGAGUAACGGAGGCGCUCAAAGGUUUCCUCAGAAUGGUUGGAAAUCAUUCAUAGAGUGUAAAGGCAUAAGGAAGCUUGACUGCGAGACUUACAAGUCGAGCAGGGUCGAAAGACGGACUUAGUGAUCCGGUGGUUCCGCAUGGAAGGGCCAUCGCUCAACGGAUAAAAGCUACCCCGGGGAUAACAGGCUUAUCUCCCCCAAGAGUUCACAUCGAC
rnacentral:rRNA from 1 species